rnacentral:tRNA from 1 species
GCCAGUGUGGUGUAGUGGUUUGAGCCUUGGACUAUGACUCUGGAGACCAGGGUUCAAAUCCCCACUCAGCUA